UCACGUUGUAUUGGAUUUUUAAAUUAAAAUUUGUCAAAAGUAAUUUUGAGUUUCUGUAUAAAAUAUUUUUCUGCUUUUUCUUUCUUUUACAUAUAUCUUUUGGUUUACAAUUCUAGUGAUUAUAUUCAUUUACCAUGCAUAGAUUUAUUUUUUCACCUGCUUUGAUUUAUUUUGUAAAUGAUCGCCAAACCCGGAAUUAUCCUUAUCCGCUUCCGGAAUCGGAUCCGAUAUUGUAAAAUUUUGUCUUCACGGCCGCCAUUGUUAUCUGUUUACAAUGUUGUUUUUGUCAAUCAGAUACGAUUUUACUCGAAUUUAUACAAUAUUUGUCGGCGAUUUUCUGUAUAAAGCUAGCGGUUGAACAAAAUGAACAUUGCUGUCAUGAAUAAUAAUGAUAAAAAUAAGUUUUUAGCUCGUUUAAUUGGAGACUUUGGUGACUUGCAUGGAAGGUUGGCAAAGUAAUUUCUUAUUUUCUUUCAAGUGGAAGGUCACUACGUCGGGCGUAGCUAGAAACCAACUAUCCUAGUCGAAAUUCUGCUUGCAAAAGUGGAAGGUCGCGGACCUCGGACCACCGCUAAUUUGCACACCUG
rnacentral:lncRNA from 1 species